rnacentral:tRNA from 1 species
AGAAAUUUAGGAUAUACUAAACCAAUAGCCUUCAAAGCUAUUAAAAAGAGUUAACCUCUUAAUUUCU